rnacentral:rRNA from 1 species
UGGGGAAUAUUGGACAAUGGGCGAAAGCCUGAUCCAGCCAUGCCGCGUGAGUGAUGAAGGCCUUAGGGUUGUAAAGCCCUUUCGGUGGGGAAGAAAAGCCUCGACCUAACACGUCGGGGUCUUGACGUAACCCAUAGAAGAAGCACCGGCUAACUCUGUGCCAGCAGCCGCGGUAAUACAGAGGGUGCGAGCGGUAAUCGGAAUUACUGGGCGUAAAGCGCGCGUAGGCGGCUUUGCAAGUUGGGUGUGAAUUCCCCAGGCUUAACCUGGGAACUGCAUUCGAGACUGCAUUGCUAGAGUAUGGGAGAGGGAAGUGGAAUUUCAGGUGUAGCGGUGAAAUGCGUAGAUAUCUGAAGGAACAUCAGUGGCGAAAGCGACUUCCUGGACCAAUACUGACGCUCAUGUGCGAAAGCGUGGGGAGCAAA